rnacentral:rRNA from 1 species
CCUACGGGGGGCAGCAGUGAGGAAUAUUGGUCAAUGGACGAGAGUCUGAACCAGCCAAGUAGCGUGAAGGAUGACUGCCCUAUGGGUUGUAAACUUCUUUUAUAUGGGAAUAAAACGUUCCACGUGUGGGAUUUUGUAUGUACCAUAUGAAUAAGGAUCGGCUAACUCCGUGCCAGCAGCCGCGGUAAUACGGAGGAUCCGAGCGUUAUCCGGAUUUAUUGGGUUUAAAGGGAGCGUAGGUGGAUUGUUAAGUCAGUUGUGAAAGUUUGCGGCUUAACCGUAAAAUUGCAGUUGAAACUGGCAGUCUUGAGUACAGUAGAGGUGGGCGGAAUUCGUGGUGUAGCGGUGAAAUGCUUAGAUAUCACGAAGAACUCCGAUUGCGAAGGCAGUUCACUGGACUGCAACUGACACUGAGGCUCGAAAGUGUGGGUAUCAAACAGGAUUAGAUACCCCGGUAGUC